AGGUUACUGCUAUCGGUGUUCGCCUAAGCCAUGCGAGUCAUAUGCUCGUAAGAACAUGGCGUACUGCUCAGUAACACGUGGAUAACCUGCCCUUGGGUCCGGCAUAACCCCGGGAAACUGGGGAUAAUUCCGGAUAACGCACAUAUGCUGGAAUGCUUUAUGCGUAAAAUGGAUUCGUCUGCCCAAGGGUGGGUCUGCGGCCUAUUAGGUAGUAGUGGGUGUAAUGUACCUACUAGCCUACGACGGGUACGGGUUGUGAGAGCAAGAGCCCGGAGAUGGAUUCUGAGACAUGAAUCCAGGCCCUACGGGGCGCAGCAGGCGCGAAAACUUUACAAUGCGGGAAACCGUGAUAAGGGGACACCGAGUGCCAGCAUCCUAUGCUGGCUGUCCGGGUGUGUAAAAUACACCUGUUAGCAAGGGCCGGGCAAGACCGGUGCCAGCCGCCGCGGUAACACCGGCGGCCCGAGUGGUGAUCGUGAUUAUUGGGUCUAAAGGGUCCGUAGCCGGUUUGGUCAGUCCUCCGGGAAAUCUGACAGCUUAACUGUUAGGCUUUCGGAGGAUACUGCCAGACUUGGAACCGGGAGAGGUAAGAGGUACUACAGGGGUAGGAGUGAAAUCUUGUAAUCCCUGUGGGACCACCUGUGGCGAGGGCGUCUUACCAGAACGGGUUCGACGGUGAGGGACGAAAGCUGGGGGCACGAACCGGAUUAGAUACCCGGGUAGUCCCAGCCGUAAACGAUGCUCGCUAGGUGUCAGGCAUGGCGCGACCGUGUCUGGUGCCGCAGGGAAGCCGUGAAGCGAGCCACCAGGGAAGUACGGCCGCAAGGCUGAAACUUAA
rnacentral:rRNA from 1 species